UACAGAGGUCUCAAGCGUUUGUUCGGAUUCAUUGGGCGUAAAGGGUGUGUAGGUGGCGCCGUAAGUCGGGGUGUGAAAUUUCGGAGCUUAACUCCGAAACUGCAUUUGAUACUGCGGUGCUUGAGGACUGGAGAGGAGACUGGAAUUUACGGUGUAGCAGUGAAAUGCGUAGAGUAUCGUAAGGAAGACCAGUGGCGAAGGCGGGUCUCUGGACAGUUCCU
rnacentral:rRNA from 1 species